rnacentral:misc_RNA from 1 species
UUUCCGUAGGUGAACCUGCGGAAGGAUCAUUGCCACACACGAUCCAAGAUCGACACUUUUUGUGAACCGUUUAAUGUCUUUAUAUGUUAUGGGUUAGUCGUGUUUCAUGAACUUGAAAUGCUUCGCAUCCAUACGUAUAUCUAUAUUAACACCCCUUUAAAUCAAAAUGAAUUAUGCAUUGGAACAUAAAAUGUUAUCUCAAGUUCGUCUUGAUUUAACGAAAAGAUACUAAUUGUAAAACAACUUUUAACAAUGGAUAUCUUGGUUCUU